rnacentral:rRNA from 1 species
CCUACGGGAGGCAGCAGUAGGGAAUAUUGCUCAAUGGGGGAAACCCUGAAGCAGCAACGCCGCGUGGAGGAUGAAGGUUUUAGGAUUGUAAACUCCUUUUGUUAGAGAAGAUUAUGACGGUAUCUAACGAAUAAGCACCGGCUAACUCCGUGCCAGCAGCCGCGGUAAUACGGAGGGUGCAAGCGUUACUCGGAAUCACUGGGCGUAAAGAGUGCGUAGGCGGGUUAAUAAGUCAGAUGUGAAAUCCUGUGGCUUAACUACAGAACUGCAUUUGAAACUGUUACUCUGGAGUGUGGGAGAGGUAGGUGGAAUUCUUGGUGUAGGGGUAAAAUCCGUAGAGAUCAAGAGGAAUACUCAUUGCGAAGGCGACCUGCUGGAACAUUACUGACGCUGAUGCACGAAAGCGUGGGGAGCAAACAGGAUUAGAUACCCCUGUAGUC